rnacentral:rRNA from 1 species
GAUGAACGCUGGCGGCGUGCCUAAUACAUGCAAGUCGAGCGAACAGACGAGGAGCUUGCUCCUCUGACGUUAGCGGCGGACGGGUGAGUAACACGUGGAUAACCUACCUAUAAGACUGGGAUAACUUCGGGAAACCGGAGCUAAUACCGGAUAAUAUAUUGAACCGCAUGGUUCAAUGGUGAAAGACGGUUUUGCUGUCACUUAUAGAUGGAUCCGCGCCGCAUUAGCUAGUUGGUAAGGUAACGGCCUACCAAGGCAACGAUGCGUAGCCGACCUGAGAGGGUGAUCGGCCACACUGGAACUGAGACACGGUCCAGACUCCUACGGGAGGCAGCAGUAGGGAAUCUUCCGCAAUGGGCGAAAGCCUGACGGAGCAACGCCGCGUGAGUGAUGAAGGUCUUCGGAUCGUAAAACUCUGUUAUUAGGGAAGAACAAAUGUGUAAGUAACUAUGCACGUCUUGACGGUACCUAAUCAGAAAGCCACGGCUAACUACGUG